rnacentral:rRNA from 1 species
AUCUACGGCCAUACUGCCCUGAGUUCGCCCGAUCCCGUUUGAUCUCGGAAGCUAAGCAGGGUCAGGCUUGGUUAGAUAGGGCCCUAUUUU